ensembl:misc_RNA Metazoa_SRP Metazoan signal recognition particle RNA
GCCAGGCACAGUGGCGUGUGCCUGUAAUCCCAGCUACACAGGAGGCUGAGGCAGGAGAAUCGCUUGAAUCCGGGAGACAGAGGUUGUAGUGAGCUGAGAUCACACCACUGCACUCCAGCCUGGGUGACAGAGCCAGACUCUGUCUCAG